CUUUCCCCAAUCUGUGAAGUAGCUAAUAAUAUAGAACAAAAUGCUCAAGAGAAUGAAAAUGAAAGCCAAGUUUCAACAGAUGAAAGUGAGAACUCCAGGUCUCCUGGAAAUACAACAGUGGAAAGUUGGGGACAAAUGUUCUGCCAUUUGGUCAGAAGACGGUUG
rnacentral:sRNA from 1 species